rnacentral:rRNA from 1 species
GACGUAGGAAGCAAGCGUUGCCCGGAAUUACUGGGCGUAAAGAGCUCGUAGGCGGGGGCGUGCGUCCGAAUGGAAAUCUCAAGGCUCAACCUUGGGGCUUUUUCGGAUACGGCGCUUCUUGAGGGUGAGAGAGGAAAGCGGAAUUCCAGGUGUAGCGGUGAAAUGCGUAGAUAUCUGGAGGAACACCAGCGGCGAAGGCGGCUUUCUGGCUCAUUCCUGACGCUGAGGAGCGAAAGCGUGGGUAGCGAACGGGAUUAGAUACCCCGGUAGUCCACGCCGUAAACGAUGGAUACUAGGUGUAGGAGGUAUCGACCCCUUCUGUGCCGGAGUUAACACAUUAAGUAUCCCGCCUGGGGAGUACGGUCGCAAGGCUGAA